AUUUAAAGUCUGUUCUUCAUGUAUGUCGAACUGUAAACUACUCAGACGUUCCACUGGAAUAUAUUGUGCGAGCUGUAUAUCAAAGGGUAAGCACUCACGACACACUGGAGGAACUUCGUCAUCCAGACAAAAUGAUGACACCGAAGGUAGUAACAAUAAUCCAAUUUUGCACAAUUUUUUUUAAAUAUACAAUGAUUAGUCAUGGAAAUAUUGGAAAUCGAAAUAUAUGAGUACUCUAUCAGAUAACCUUAAUAUCUAACUAAAAGUUUA